rnacentral:rRNA from 1 species
UAUGUGAUCGUCUCUCGCAUAUCAAUAAGCGGAGGAAAAGAAACUAACAAGGAUUCCCCUAGUAACGGCGAGUGAAGCGGGAAGAGCUCAAAUUUGAAAUCUUAAAGGGUUUCCCUUUACGAAUUGUAGUUUAAAGAAGUGUUUUCUGUUGAGGUUUUGGUAAAAGUUCUUUGGAAUAGGACAUCAUAGAGGGUGAGAAUCCCGUAUUUGACCUUUACUUUCAACUUUGUGAUACACUUUCAAAGAGUCGGAUUGUUUGGGAAUGCAGUCCAAAAUGGGUGGUAAAUUUCAUCUAAAGCUAAAUAUUGGCGAGAGACCGAUAGCGAACAAGUACCGUGAGGGAAAGAUGAAAAGAACUUUGAAAAGAGAGUUAAACAGUACGUGAAAUUGUCAAAAGGGAAGCGUUUGACACCAGUGUUGUUUUUCUGAAAAUCAAUUAAAGAACUGUUUAUGCUAAGUUGUUUAGACUUUAUCAGCUAACUGUUUAGUUUUGAGCUUUUCUUUAAUGCACUUUUCAGUUAACAAGUCAACAUCAAUUUCUUUUGCUGUAAAAAAGCUUGAGGAAGGUGGCUUGAGAUUCGUCUUAAGUGUUUAUAGCCUCUUGCCUAUGCAGUCGGAGAGAUUGAGGUCUGCAGCGUAGAUCCUUCGGGGCUAAAUGCAUUUGUGCUAAGUCAUAGCAUUUUAUAGACAACUUGUUGACUAUGAUUUGUCUUGUAGCUUACUCGCUUAUGUUAUUUUACCUACGCUUAGGAUGUUGACUGAUAUGUAGUCGUA